UAGAAGUUUAAAAGCAGCUGUCACACACAUUUUCACUAAGUGCAGUUUGCAGCUUGAUAAAGGAAGUCCUAUGUGGAGAUAUUAAUAAGCUUGAAUGUAGUAUCGGAAGUUUAUAAUGCAUGGCUAGGGAACUGAGGCUAAGGGAGUUAUGUGCUGUGCAUGAUGAGAACUCAAUGCUCAUUAAUGCUGUUAAUGUUUAUAAAUAAAUUAAUUAAACCAAUAGCAUUGUUUUUUAGGUUUCACUGUACAUUUUCAUACCAAUAGAAUUACACAUCAUUCUAAUUAUAGCAAUAAUAAAUUUGUACUAAUCAUACCUACAAAUUUUGUUAUGCUAUGCUUUGUGAUGUAUUAACUUCAUUGUAAGUUAUUAUUUAAAGACAAUUUUACUAAAUAUUUAAAACAAUACUUGAAUUAUUUUCUAUAUACAUUUUCAUUAUGUGCUUUAACUGUAGCUGACCAGUUGAUGGAAGAUACUGCAGAGUUUGGCAGGGAAAUAACCCAAGACAGCAAAGCGGCUCUUUUGGCGCAUUUACCAAGAGGACUAACAUGGCCACAAAUUCAUGAGAUCAUGCAGGAGCCGUACAGUAUAACAGCAGUACAAGUUCUAUAAAAGAUCCACGACCUACUGAAGCCCAGCUAAUUAACAAAAAAGUUUUUAAAAACUGUAAUUUUAUCCCACCUGGGUACUUAUAAUUUACUAAGCUGCCUUCACAAGUUUUAGACUUGCAAUUAUAUUUUAAACUGUCACUUGGAAAGUAAUACAUGUACAUGCAUUCAUGUUCUGAAUUUCUUUGAACAAUAAAAUUAUAUAAAAGUAUUUUAAUGAAAUUGAGCACCUAAAUUGCAUUAAAGUGAAAGUAGCUGAGAAAAAUAGUAUCCUUAAUUGUUCUCAUGGGCAGCUACAUAUAUUGUGACAAACAUGAAGUAGCUAAAAUAACUUAAAUUUUUCAUUUUGUUUCUUGUAUAUCGUUUGUACAGGGUUCGUGAAUUGUUACUGUAUAUUACUUGACUUGCUUGUAUUUUGUUACUUUGAAUACAUGUUGUUAAGGUUGCAUUAUACUUUUUAACUUUUAAAGUAGCGCCUGUUCUGUUAUGUAAGGGCCUGAUUUAUGAUAAUGGACCUAGAGGCUUUGUAAGCAUGUAUUAAACAACACUUGUUUGAUCUGAAUAAUUUGUUAAAUAAAUGUAACACAAUUUGUAAUCUGAUGUUAUAUUUUGAUGAAUUGUGAACAAAAUAAUACAUCGAAGAAACUAA